UUUCCUGGCUGUAGAGGAAGACAAGCAGCAGAAAAUCACCCGCCUGCUGCUGCUCUGGGAGAAGAACAGCUACUUUGACGACGUCACCAUUCAGCAGCUUCAGAGUCCGGCUCUGGGCCUCGGACAGUAUCAGGCGUCGCUCAUCACGGAGUACGCGCCGGUGGUGCAGCCCGUCCAGAUGGCCUUCCAGCAGCAGAUCCAGGC